rnacentral:rRNA from 1 species
CAGCCGCCGCGGUAAUACAGAGGGUGCGAGCGUUAAUCGGAUUUACUGGGCGUAAAGCGUGCGUAGGCGGCUAAUUGAGUCGGAUGUGAAAUCCCCGAGCUUAACUUGGGAAUUGCAUUCGAUACUGGUUAGCUAGAGUGUGGGAGAGGAUGGUAGAAUUCCAGGUGUAGCGGUGAAAUGCGUAGAGAUCUGGAGGAAUACCGAUGGCGAAGGCAGCCAUCUGGCCUAACACUGACGCUGAGGUACGAAAGCAUGGGGAGCAAACAGGAUUAGAUACCCCAGUAGUCCCUGUCUCUUAUAC